rnacentral:rRNA from 1 species
UACGUAGGGACCAAGCGUUGUUCGGAUUUACUGGGCGUAAAGGGCGCGUAGGCGGCGUGGUAAGUCACUUGUGAAAUCUCUGAGCUUAACUCAGAACGGCCAAGUGAUACUGCUGUGCUAGAGUGCGGAAGGGGCAAUCAGAAUUCUUGGUGUAGCGGUGAAAUGCGUAGAUAUCAAGAGGAAUACCUGAGGUGAAGGCGGGUUGCUAGGCCGACACUGACGCUGAGGCGCGAAAGCCAGGGGAGCAAACGGG